CGUGAAAUCCUGUCUGAACAUGGGGGGACCACCCUCCAAGCCUAAGUACUCCUCAGCGACCGAUAGUGAACCAGUACCGUGAGGGAAAGGUGAAAAGCACCCCGACGAGGGGAGUGAAAUAGCACCUGAAACCGGAUGCUUACAAACAGUAGGAGCCCAAGGUUUGUCCUGGGUGACUGCGUACCUUUUGUAUAAUGGGUCAGCGACUUAAAGUUACGAGCAAGCUUAAGCCGAUAGGUGAAGGCGCAGCGAAAGCGAGUCUGAAUAGGGCGUUCAGUUCGUGGCUUUAGACCCGAAACCGAGUGAUCUAGCCAUGUGCAGGAUGAAGGUGGGGUAACACCCACUGGAGGUCCGAACCAGUGCCCGUUGAAAAGGUCUUGGAUGACGUGUGGCUAGGGGUGAAAGGCCAAUCAAACUCGGAAAUAGCUGGUUCUCCGCGAAAGCUAUUUAGGUAGCGCCUCGAGUGAAUACCGUGCGGGGUAGAGCACUGGAUGGGCUAGGGCCGCCCACAGCGGUACCAAACCCAACCAAACUCCGAAUACGCACGAGUACUGCUCGGGAGACACACGGCGGGUGCUAACGUCCGUCGUGGAGAGGGAAACAACCCUGACCGACAGCUAAGGCCCCCAAUUCGUGGCUAAGUGGGAAAGGAUGUGGGACUCCCAAAACAACCAGGAGGUUGGCUUAGAAGCAGCCAUCCUUUAAAGAAAGCGUAACAGCUCACUGGUCUAAAUAAGGGGUCCUGCGCCGAAAAUGUAACGGGGCUCAAGCCACGAGCCGAAGCUUCGGAUUCACUUCGCAAGAGGUGAGUGGUAGCGGAGCGUUCCCUAGGCUGAUGAAGGAAGACUCGUGAGAGCUUCUGGAGGUAUGGGAAGUGCGAAUGCUGACAUGAGUAACGACAAAGAGUGUGAAAGACACUCUCGCCGAAAGUCCAAGGGUUCCUGCGUAAAGUUAAUCUUCGCAGGGUUAGCCGGCCCCUAAGGCGAGGCCGAAAGGCGUAGUCGAUGGGAACGGGGCAAAUAUUCCCCGGCCAGUGGAUGGUGACGGAUGCCGUAUAUCGUUCAACCUUAUCGGAUUGGUUG
rnacentral:rRNA from 2 species